CCUACGGGUGGCAGCAGUGGGGGAUAUUGCACAAUGGGGGAAACCCUGAUGCAGCGACGCCGCGUGGGUGAAGAAGCGCCUCGGCGCGUAAAGCCCUGUCAGCAGGGAAGAAAAUGACGGUACCUGAGGAAUAAGCCCCGGCUAACUACGUGACAGCAGCCGCGGUAAUACGUCGGGGGCAAGCGUUAUCCGGAUUUACUGGGUGUAAAGGGGGCGCAGUCGGCGAUGCAAGCCAGGAGUGAAAGCCCGGGGCCCAACCCCGGGACUGCUCUGGGAACUGCGUGGCUAGAGUGCAGGAGGGGCAGGCGGAAUUCCUGGUGUAGCGGUGAAAUGCGUAGAUAUCACGAGGAACACCAGUGGCGAAGGCGGCCUGCUGGAGUGCAACUGACGUUGAGGCCCGAAAGCGUGGGGAGCAAACAGGAUUAGAUACCCCAGUAGUC
rnacentral:rRNA from 1 species